rnacentral:rRNA from 1 species
GUUGAUCCUGCCAGUAGUCAUAUGCUUGUCUCAAAGAUUAAGCCAUGCAUGUCUCAGUACAAGCCAAAUUAAGGUGAAACCGCGAAAGGCUCAUUAUAUCAGUUAUGGUUCCUUAGAUCGUACCCACAUUUACUUGGAUAACUGUGGUAAUUCUAGAGCUAAUACAUGCAAACAGAGUUCCAACCAGAGAUGGAAGGAAUGCUUUUAUUAGAUCAAAACCAAUCGAUGUUGUCAUAUUUGUAUAUUGGUUUUCCAAUAUAUUUGAUAUGGUGCAUCGUUCUAUUUGGUGACUCUGAAUAACUUUAAGCUGAUCGCACGGUCUCGUACCGGCGACGCAUCUUUCAAAUGUCUGCCUUAUCAACUGUCGAUGGUAGGUUCUGCGCCUACCAUGGUUGUAACGGGUAACGGGGAAUCAGGGUUCGAUUCCGGAGAGGGAGCCUGAGAAACGGCUACCACAUCCAAGGAAGGCAGCAGGCGCGCAAAUUACCCACUCCCGGCACGGGGAGGUAGUGACGAAAAAUAACGAUACGGGACUCAUCCGAGGCCCCGUAAUCGGAAUGAGUACACUUUAAAUCCUUUAACGAGGAUCCAUUAGAGGGCAAGUCUGGUGCCAGCAGCCGCGGUAUUUCCAGCUCUAAUAGCGUAUAUUAAAGUUGUUGCGGUUAAAAAGCUCGUAGUCGAAUCUGUGUCUUACACUGUCGGUUCACCGCUCGCGGUGUUCAACUGGCAUGUUAUGUGAGACGUCCUACCGGUGGGUGGUGUAAAUUAUUGUUAUUAUUUUUGCCCACUGUAUAUUGUUGGAUAUGCACCAAUGCCAGUUAUAUAUUUAUCUUGGAUUGUUAUGUAUGUUAAUAUGCUUUUCAGUAUCGGCUUUGCACAUCAAAAGGUGACAGUGUUCAAAAUUUAUAUAUCCAUUUCUCUUUUCGGAUCUCUAUAUAUUGAAAUUUUUUUUUUGAUAUAUUUGGGAUUUGAUUGAGUUUUUUGGUUUAUUUAUUUUGCCUGUCGCUGUGUUUAAAGUGACAAGAUUUGAUAAUGGCAUAUACAUAUUAUAUUCAGUCCGUUUAUAUGGGAUGAUAUAUUGACUGCUUGGAUUAAAAAUGUAUAUUUUUACGUAUAUAUAGUGUUCUGGUUGGAUAAUUAACAUAAAAAUAAUUUGCCGUAAGUGUUUAGCCGUGAAGAACGGCGACAGCCCCCAAUUGCAAUCCUGUCGCGGUGCUCUUAAUUGAGUGUCGAGGUGGGCCGGUACGUUUACUUUGAACAAAUUAGAGUGCUUAAGGCAGGUUAAAAUUUCGCCUGAAUAUUGUGUGCAUGGAAUAAUGGAAUAGGACCUCGGUUCUAUUUUGUUGGUUUUCGGAACUCCGAGGUAAUGAUUAAUACGGACAGAUGGGGGCAUUCGUAUUGCGACGUUAGAGGUGAAAUUCUUGGAUCGUCGCAAGACGGACAGAAGCGAAAGCAUUUGCCAAAAAUGUUUUGAUUGAUCAAGAACGAAAGUUAGAGGUUCGAAGGCGAUCAGAUACCGCCCUAGUUCUAACCAUAAACGAUGCCAGCUAGCGAUCCGCCGAAGUUCUUCCGAUGACUCGGCGGGCAGCUUCCGGGAAACCAAAGCUUUUGGGUUCCGGGGGAAGUAUGGUUGCAAAGCUGAAACUUAAAGGAAUUGACGGAAGGGCACCACCAGGAGUGGAGCCUGCGGCUUAAUUUGACUCAACACGGGAAACCUCACCAGGCCCGGACACCGGAAGGAUUGACAGAUUGAGAGCUCUUUCUUGAUUCGGUGGGUGGUGGUGCAUGGCCGUUCUUAGUUGGUGGAGCGAUUUGUCUGGUUAAUUCCGAUAACGAACGAGACUGUAGCCUGCUAAAUAGACGUACCUUACUGGCAUCUCAAGGCCCAUCGGCUGUAAUGUAUCGUUACGUUUGUUGCUUACUUUUAAAUAAAUUUUACUCUUAUUAUUGUAUGGGCCUCUCUAUUUUACAUAUUCGCUAUAUAUGUAUAUGCAUAUAUGUUUCUGAUGUAUAUGUGUGUGCGUGUGUCGCGGUGUGUAUUUAUAGGGAUGUGUUUUAUAUGAUGAUAGGGUAUUUUCUAUUGGGGUUUGUUAACACGUGCGGUGUACAGUUUUUUGAUGUGGUUUUUACUGCCGGCGUACAUAUUAAUCUUCUUAGAGGGACAGGCGGGUUUUAGCCGCACGAAGAUUGAGCAAUAACAGGUCUGUGAUGCCCUUAGAUUUUUUGGGCCGCACGCGCGCUACACUGAAGGAUCAGCGUGUCCUCCCUGGGCCGAAAGGUCCGGGUAACCCGCUGAACCUCCUUCGUGCUAGGGAUUGGGGCUUGCAAUUGUUCCCCAUGAACGAGGAAUUCCCAGUAAGCGCGAGUCAUAAGCUCGCGUUGAUUACGUCCCUGCCCUUUGUACACACCGCCCGUCGCUACUACCGAUUGAAUGAUUUAGUGAGGCCUUCGGACUGGUACACGGCAAAGUGUUUCUGACAUUUACCGUAGUUGCUGGGAAGAUGGCCAAACUUGAUCAUUUAGAGGAAGUAAAAGUCGUAACAAGGUUUCCG